UAGGUUAUAGGGACACAUGUUUGGGACACUUUUGAGUAAGUGUCCCAUUUAUCCUAAAACUUAAAAAAACAUCUAGUAAUGCUUAAAUAUAAAGCCCAAUCCAACCAAAAAUAAAAAAUUACUCUAAUCAACCCACCACACCCAGUCCAUUUGGCCCGAUUACAAACAGAAAAGAAAAAAAAAAGAAAAAUCAAUUACCAUCUUUUCUUCUCUCUUCACUUAAUCCACUAAAAUUCUAGACGAAGAGCAUUUCCUGUCGUUCUCCUCUGCCACCGCAGCCAACGAGAUAGAGUUUCGGCGAUUGCUAAAUGCUUAAAUAAGUGUUUAUAAAUUAGCAGCACUCUUUUA
rnacentral:lncRNA from 1 species